AAAGAUUUAGUUAAUAUAUAACAUUAAAAUGUCAAUUUAAAAAAAUUUAAAAUUAAAUAAUCUUUA
rnacentral:tRNA from 1 species